rnacentral:snRNA from 1 species
AUAUUGCAGGGAAAUACCAUGUCAUAAAAGUGGUUUUCCCAGGGGGAGGCUCAUAUCUUGCACUUUGGGUGUGUUGCUGAUCCUUGUGAUUUCCUAGAAUGUGGGGACCUCAUCUGCAUAAUUUGUGUUAAUGGGAGAUGGAAUGUGGGGACCUCAUC